UAACGGCAGCAAGAGUGCCGUAUCGCUCGUGACCAAAUUACGCGUCUACGCCACGGUGUUAAGCUCAAAUACUUUCCAAAGGAUAAUAAGCCCCUCGAAGCAGCAAACAAGGGAAAAAGAAAAUCAUAAUACUUUUAAAUGUGAAAAGUUUUCUAUUUGCCCUUUCGGUUGUGACAAAAACAUAAAGCCCACCAAACAGUGAAACGAACGAAAUGUGUGUGUGUGAAAUUAUGCAAAGGACAUCGAUGGAAAAACAACGCCCUUUGUAGAAAUUUACUCCACAGACACUGAAGUGUGGUGUCCUUUGAAGUGAAAGCAAAAAACAAAAAAAAAAACCAAAAAAAAAAAGAAAAGCAAAUCGCUCGUUUUCGCAGACGAUGUAAUGUGCGGCAUAUCCUUUAUUCUGAUGUUGUAGACAAAUACACACAAAAAAUCCAACAACACAAACGCGGCAUGACACGCUCCCACAACGACACACACACAAAUGUACACAGCCCCUAAUGCCUGUGAAAAUGUUGAUGACCUAAAGAGUAAUAAAUUUAACAAGGAAUUUAAUUGAAUCGAAAGUGAAUGUCAAAGCGGAAAAGGGAAACACAAAAGAGCAAAGCAAAAUCCAAAAAAAAGUGAAUAAUCCCUAAAUCUUCUGUUGUAAUUGAAAAGUUACAAGCGGUCGAGUGAACGACAACGACAAAGUUUCAAACACACAAAGUGAGUGGUGGAGAGCAAAAAUUGUUUGUCUUUUAUAGUCGAAAAAAAAUGUCUCAUGUUUGUUCGAAUCGAUGUGAAUAAAAGUGCGGUACUACCACAAAGCAGUGCGGUAUGCUCCAUGUCCAUGGUGUAAAUCCUCCCUACGAUAUCCGAAAAUUAUACAAUCAUCAGCUGCAAAAGUUAGUGACCUACCAGAAAAACCAAAAUAAGCCCUCCAUCCCCUAGAGUCAAAAGUAAGCAGGAAAACAAAUAAAACAAAAAUACUUCGCCCACGCAGCGAAGAGGAAUGCCAGCCAAAGAAUAAAUAAGAGCAAGUCGAAGAAAGUCAACAAAUAAAAAGUGUUGUUAUUGUGGUGUAGUGGUGGUGUAUCUUCUCUCUUCACCCAAGUUCGUUGUCGAGUAUCUGUCGACGGUGUCCCCAAGUAUCCUUAACUUAAUCACUGCCCUUCCGCCGCUUCGGUUAGAAAAAGAAACCUAGAAAGCGAUAUUGUGAAUGAAGUGUUAUAAAUUGCAGCACAAUUAAAUGUAAUUAAUUGUUUCAUUCCAAAUUGUGCCGCCUCCCCACUUUUGGCAGUUUGUGCCAACAGCAACAGCAGUAAGUGCCGGCUUAAAGGAUAGCAGACUUUGCCUACCUACCAUUGGAUACCUCGCUGGCUUUUCUGACUGUCCCGUGUAAACAAAUGCUAAAAGAUUGAGAACAAUAGGUGAGUUUCUACAAAACAAGAUUGCAAUAUAUUU
rnacentral:sRNA from 1 species